UGGUUCUGGCAUNGAUGAAGAACGCAGCGAAAUGCGAUAAGUAAUGUGAAUUGCAGAAUUCAGUGAAUCAUCGAAUCUUUGAACGCACAUUGCGCCCCUUGGUAUUCCGGGGGGCAUGCCUGUUCGAGCGUCAUUUCAACCCUCAAGCAUAGCUUGGUCUUGGGCACUGCCGGUAACGGCUUGCCUUAAAACUAGUGGCGGUGCCAUUCGAGCUUUACGCGUAGUAAAUUACCCUCGCGAUUGAGUCUUGAUGGAUGCUGGCCAGCAACCCUUAAUUUUUUUUGGUUGACCUCGGAUCAGGUAGGGAUACCCGCUGA
rnacentral:misc_RNA from 1 species